CUGAAAGAAAAUCUAUGUUGAUCAUAUUUGAUUUUGCCUUUUUGGGGGUAAAAUCAUGACAGAUUGACAUGAACAGGU
rnacentral:snoRNA from 1 species